rnacentral:rRNA from 1 species
UACAGAGGGGGCAAGCGUUAUUCGGAAUUAUUGGGCGUAAAGGGCGCGUAGGCGGUCUUUCAAGUCUUUCGUGAAAUCCCUCGGCUUAACUGAGGACGUGCGGGAGAUACUGUUGGACUUGAGUCCGGAAGAGGGUGGCGGAAUUCCCAGUGUAGCGGUGAAAUGCGUAGAUAUUGGGAGGAACACCGGUGGCGAAGGCGGCCACCUGGGCCGGAACUGACGCUGAGGCGCGAAAGCGUGGGUAGCAAACGGG